rnacentral:rRNA from 1 species
UGAGGAAUAUUGGGCAAUGCCCGCAAGGGUGACCCAGCAACGCCGCGUGGAGGAUGAAUGUCGUAAGAUUGUAGACUCCUGUUAGAGGGGAAGAAUAGUACCGGUUGGACCGGUAUAUGACUGUACCCUCAGAGAAAGCCCCGGCUAACUACGUGCCAGCAGCCGCGGUAAUACGUAGGGGGCAAGCGUUGUCCGGAUUUACUGGGUGUAAAGGGCGCGCAGGCGGGAUAAAAAGUCAGUGGUGAAAUCCUACAGCUUAACUGUAGAACUGCCUUUGAUACUUUUAUUCUUGAGUUCGGGAGAGAGAGACGGAAUUCCAGGUGUAGUGGUGAAAUACGUAGAUAUCUGGAAGAACACCAGUUGCGAAGGCGGUCUCUUGGUCCGAUACUGACGCUGAGGCGCGAAAGCGUGGGGAGCAAACA